AAUGGAGUGCCUGAUAAAAGGGUUGCCUUGAUAGGGCAAAUAAUGUGCCCCCCACCUCCGUUA
rnacentral:tRNA from 1 species